rnacentral:rRNA from 1 species
UACGGGGGGAGCAAGCGUUGUUCGGAUUUACUGGGCGUAAAGGGCGCGUAGGCGGCCUCCGCAAGUCAGUUGUGAAAUCUCCGAGCUUAACUCGGAAAGGUCAACUGAUACUGCGGGGCUAGAGUGCGGAAGGGGCAACUGGAAUUCUUGGUGUAGCGGUGAAAUGCGUAGAUAUCGAGAGGAACACCUGCGGCGAAGGCGGGUAGCUGGGCCGACACUGACGCUGAUGCGCGAAAAGCCAGGGGGAGCGAAACGGGGAUUAGAAA